rnacentral:rRNA from 1 species
AUGGCAGAAUUCUUCAGGCCAUUGAUCGUUACUGCCAAGACAAUUGCUACGAUGGUAAUUCGUCCGUCGCUUUGCCAGAUUGAGGAAUUGGUUGCAUGGAUCGAGUGCCCAAAUUGCAAAUACCGCAUUGAUAAUACUGAUGUUUUAUCACAGUGGCCAGGACUCCCUGCUGGUGUUAAGUUCGAUCCAACUGAUCUCGAACUGCUUGAACAUUUAGAAGGAAAGGUCAGCAGGGCAGCGUCCCAUGUACUAAUAGAUGAUUUUAUUCCAACCAUAGAGGAGGCUGAAGGAAUCUGCUAUACACAUCCGGAAAAUCUCCCUGGUAUCAAGAAUGACGGGAGCACCUGUCACUUCUUCCACAAAGUAUCCAAUGCAUACGUUGUUGGCAAGCGUAAGCGUCGCAAGAUUAGCAACAGUGACCACACUGUUUGUGAUGAGAAUCUCAGAUGGCACAAGACUGGAAAAUCGAGAUCUAUCUUGGAUAAUAACGGUGACAUAAAAGGGUGGAAGAAAAUAUUGGUUCUUUACAUAGGUUACCGGAAAGGAGGUGGCAAGACAGAAAAAACUAAUUGGAGAAUGCAUCAGUACCACCUUGGGGUAGAUCAAGAUGAGAAGCAGGAGGAGCUUGUUGUUUCCAAAGUCUUUUAUCAGGUGCAGUCAAUGAAUGCUGGGCAGUCUCUAGUGUGCGGUGUUAAUGAAGAAUUCGAUUCAUUUGCUGGGGAAAACGAUCCUACAACCUCAAUGCCAUACCCUCUGCAGACUCGUUGCCCAAACGGUAGUCCAUCCGGAACCGAGCAGAAUCAGGAGGGAGAGUCCCGCGUGUCUACAGUUCGGGAAGCUGGGGAAUGGCUCGCGGGAAGCUCGUCGCAUGCCGUGGAGGACGCAGCGGUGUCUGGCCUGGAUGAACACCUGUCACACGGCGGAGCCCCGGACGCCACCUACCCUGACCCUGAGGGGCAGCCUCUGCCUCUUGACGCCGAGGCGCUCCAGGAGUUCCCCGACCUCGGAACGCCUCAGGAUAUCUCCCUUCCGACUGACAUGCAGCUCGAGUCGCAGGAUAGCAUGGAGAUGUGGCUGGCCAGCGUGUUAACAGAGGAUGAGGAGGGGUUUGAAGCAGCGGAGCAACGAGAAGAGGCCGGUUUUUCUCCGUGA